rnacentral:rRNA from 1 species
CCUACGGGAGGCUGCAGUGGGGAAUAUUGGACAAUGGGCGAAAGCCUGAUCCAGCAAUGCCGCGUGAGUGAUGAAGGCCUUAGGGUUGUAAAGCUCUUUUACCAGGGAUGAUAAUGACAGUACCUGGAGAAUAAGCUCCGGCUAACUCAGUGCCAGCAGACGCGGUAAUACGGAGGGAGCUAGCGUUGUCCGGAAUUACUGGGCGUAAAGCGCACGUAGGCGGUUUUUCAAGUCAGGGGUGAAAGCCCGGUGCUCAACUCCGGAGUUGCCCUUGCAACUGGAUGACUAGAGUCUUGGAGAGGUCAGUGGAAUUCCGGGUGUAGAGGUGAAAUUCGUAGAUAUUCGGAAGAACACCAGUGGCGAAGGCGCCUGACUGGACAAGUAUUGACGCUGAGGUGCGAAAGCGUGGGGAGCAAACAGGAUUAGAUACCCCUGUAGUC